AGUGAACGCUGGCGGCGUGCCUAAUACAUGCAAGUCGAACGAACGAAUAAGAGCUUGCUCUUAUAAGUUAGUGGCGCACGGGUGAGUAAUAUAUAGCUAAUCUGCCUCUUAGUAGAGGAUAACAGUCGGAAACGAUUGCUAAUACUCUAUACUUCUGCUUUACAUAAGUAAAGUAGAGAAAGUUUUUCGCUAAGAGAUGAGGCUAUACUGUAUCAGCUAGUUGGUAAGGUAACGGCUUACCAAGGCUAUGACGCAUAACUGGUCUGAGAGGAUGAUCAGUCACAUUGGGACUGAGACACGGUCCAAACUCCUACGGGAGGCAGCAGUAGGGAAUAUUGCGCAAUGGGGGAAACCCUGACGCAGCAACGCCGCGUGGAGGAUGACACUUUUCGGAGCGUAAACUCCUUUUAUCGGGAAAGAAUAAUGACGGUACCCGAUGAAUAAGCACCGGCUAACUCCGUGCCAGCAGCCGCGGUAAAAGGG
rnacentral:rRNA from 1 species